rnacentral:lncRNA from 1 species
AGAAGUAAGACCCUAAAAGACGUCGCCUUUGUUUUAUUGGCUGGGUCGUGCCCUCACUCAGGUCGGCCUUACCGUAAUGGACGUACCCACUUGGCGUAGGGACGUUAGGAGCCAAAUUUUACCCAAUACAGAACUCAACGUACAUAUCACUAGAGUUGGAUUGUUUGAGCUGCUGUCUUGUCACCCAUCUCAUGUCCCAUGCAUCCCAUGUAGGAUUAAAGGUUAAGCUUCUCCCACUGUUGCACAAUAUUUUCACUGUGGCAGAGCUAAUCCACCGAUGAAAGA